UCAACCGCACCCGCCAGGCUGUCAUCACAAAGGAGCUGAUCGAAAUUAUCUCUGGGGCUGCUGCUCUGGAUUAAUGAAAAUCAAGUUGCAUCCUCAGACAAGAGGUAAAGAAGAAAAACACAGCAGGCUGAUUUUAACUGAUUGCUGUCAUUGUCAGAAGAAACUUGGUCCACUGAGUUACAAAGACAGCAGGAUGUUUGUAAAUUAUCUUACAAUAAACAACUUACAAUGUGAAAA